AAACCAUGUUGAGGGAAACGUCUGAAUAACUCUCAAAAUCUUCCUCAAACAUCAUGUAUCGUCUCAUCCCCUAUCUGAGCAAAGUUUGAAAUCUCCAAUAUGAUUUU